rnacentral:lncRNA from 1 species
GCCAAUUGGAAGUGCUGGCAGGAGAUCAUAGUGUGACAUAGAAAGGAAGUCAGGGUAAUUCUUCCUCUAGUUCUCUGCCUUACAAGUAGCUACUGGUCAGCCAUGUCCCUCUACUGAAGGUCCCAGCUCCUUAUGGGCCAUCCUCACUCCUCAAUACAGCUACCCUCUCUGGGUUCCAGUAACUAGCUCAGAAUUCUGUAUUACCCCUGUAAAUGUCCCCCACUUGAAAAUCCCAAUUUUAUUAAGCUCUUCUUAAAAUAUCCAAUUGCAUGUGCCAUCUAAGACCACUUCUGAUAGCCAAUCAACAUCCAUCAAACUGACAGCAUGAUAAUUAAGAUCAUAAAAACUGCCCCCAAGACAAGUUUAAGUACUGACCCAGACUUUGUCCUAUAAUUUUAUUAGUUUGAAUUGUUACAAAGGGGACUUUCAAAAGUCCCCUCUCCCCCUUUGGUGGUACUGGAGAUUGAACCCAAGACUUCUCAUGUGCUAGGCAAGUAUUCUACCACUGAGCCACAUCAUCAGCCCUUAAUUUUUUCUGUGUCCUAUACUUCCAGUUUGAAUAAGUUCCCUUCAGAUGAAUAGUAAUACCUGGGUAAUACCCUUGUUAAAUAUGUAUAGGUGUUAGAUAUAUGCUUGCUUUUUCACUCAAUUGUGCAAAGAUGUAAAACUAAAACUGUACUGAAGCUGUAAAUUAUUAAGAGUAACUAAAUAUUAAUAGAUUAUAGUGCAGUAAUUCAGAGUACAAGCUUGCUGUCAGACAGAUAGGCACUGAAAUCUUAACUGUGGGCUUUGAAAAGUUACUUAAUCUCUCCAAGCCUUGGUUUUUCUCUUCCAUAAAUAGUUGUAUAAUUGGGAUCAAUAGAAAAAUUUGCCCCUGGAGAUCAAAUUUUUUCAAUUGAUUAUUCUAUUCUUCUAGUCUAUAUUCUUGUCUUAUGGUCUACAGAUGUCAGAGAGAAAGCAGCUACAUACAGCUAUUACUAGAAUUUCUACUCUAUUAUAGUUAAUAUGUACAAUUCGUGUCAAAAGGUAUGCAAGCAUUACUACAAACAGCAUCGGAUACAGCUUGGUGGUCCAGGUUAUUACUUGCAAAUCCACAAGUCCUGUUUUAGCCACAAAAUCAAGUAUCGUUGCAGCUGUUCUCCCAAGAGGGAAAUAUGGGGUUUUGGUAUCAUAGAUACCACUCAUCAACUAGCUAUUAGUUAUUUGGAAAUUGUUAGCAACCGUUUUGCCCAAAAUUUACUGCCUAUUUUGCAAUGCGUAAUUCAGACUUGCUGUACAUUCUUUCCAAUUUAUGAUCUAUGUAUAAUAAUUUUCAGCCUCUUUUUAAUUUUCAACAUACUCAGUUUAGCAAUUCAUGUCACUUCUUACAUUGAGUCAUAUUAGAGCAAAUGUAAAGCGAGGUCCAAGACCAUGGGAAGAGUUUAUCCAGAUAUAUUAAACUCAUUUUUGACUGAGUUUAUAUGGUACAAUUAAUAUGGAAAUAAUGCUUCAAUUCUUUUUUAAUGCAUAUCUCAAAACACAUUUCUGGUAACUAAUAUGAUACUUUGACUCUGGGUUUUAGUAUAACCUUUCAAGGGCAAAUUCUUCAAUUGAGUACAUCUGACAGACAACUUAAUCCGAUAACCGUAACUACUUUAGUGUGUUGUGAAAGCUAAAUGAGGUUUAUUUAUAAAGUAGGAAUACAGUAAGGACUUGAAAAAUGUUAACUGUCAUCAUUGCUAUUAGUUUUAAUUUGAAAUCCUCCAAUGACAUGACGAUGAACAUCUUUUCGUGUGCUUAUUAGCUAUCUGUCUACUUUGGUGAGGUAUCCAUUCAGAUCUUUUGCCCAUUUUUCAAUUGGGUUGUUAAUUUUCUUAUCGCUAAGUUUUAAGUAUUCUUGGUAGCUUAUGGAUAAUGGUCUUUUAUCAGAUAUGUCAUUUACAGAUAUUUGCUGCUAGUCUGUGCCUUAUUUUCUCAUUUUUUAAAUAUUAUUGCUAUUUUGAUACUAAAGUGUUAUUAAAAUGAUGGAUAUAUACUAACAAGAACCAAUAAAAUAAAC